CCUACGGGUGGCAGCAGUGAGGAAUAUUGGUCAAUGGGCGGGAGCCUGAACCAGCCAAGUCGCGUGAAGGAAGAAGGUACUUAGUAUUGUAAACUUCUUUUGUCGGGGAACAAAGGCGGAGACGCGUCUCCGUAUGAGUGUACCCGAAGAAAAAGCAUCGGCUAACUCCAUGCCAGCAGCCGCGGUAAUACGGAGGAUGCGAGCGUUAUCCGGAUUCAUUGGGUUUAAAGGGUGCGCAGGCGGGGCGUUAAGCCAGCGGUGAAAUCGCGGGGGUCAACCCCAGCAGAGCAGUUGAUACUGGGGGCCUUGAGUGCGGCGGAGGUAUGCGGAAUGCGUGGUGUAGCGGUGAAAUGCAUAGAUAUCGCGCAGAACCCCGAUUGCGAAGGCAGCGUGCCGUGCCGCGACUGACGCUGAGGCACGAAAGUGUGGGGAUCGAACAGGAUUAGAUACCCCUGUAGUC
rnacentral:rRNA from 1 species